UCCUCGUUUAAGCGAGGCAGUCUGUCCAGAGUGCUCCCGGCUCUCGCCGGGGUGGCAACAGGACACAAGGGUUGCGCUCGUUGCGGGACUUAACCCAACAUCUCACGACACGAGCUGACGACAGCCAUGCAGCACCUGUGUAGGCUGGUAUUGCUACCUCGUCCCGCUUUCACGGUUCUACUACCCACAUGUCAAGGCCAGGUAAGGUUCUUCGCGUUGCAUCGAAUUAAGCCACAUACUCCACCGCUUGUGCAGGCCCCCGUCAAUUUCUUUGAGUUUUAAUCUUGCGACCGUACUCCCCAGGCGGCACAUUUAACGCGUUAGCUUCGCCACAAAAGGGGUCGAUUCCUUUUACAGCAAAUGUGCACCGUUUACAGCUAGGACUAC
rnacentral:misc_RNA from 1 species